rnacentral:rRNA from 1 species
UACGUAGGGCGCAAGCGUUGUCCGGAAUUAUUGGGCGUAAAGAGCUCGUAGGCGGUCUGUUGCGUCCGCUGUGAAAAACUCGGGGCUUAACCCCCGAGCCUGCAGUGGAUACGGGCAGACUAGAGGUAGGUAGGGGAGACUGGAAUUCCCCGGUGUAGCAGUGAAAUGCGUAGAUAUCGGGAGGAAUACCGAUGGCGAAGGCAGGUCUCUGGGCUGACACUGACGCUCAUGCACGAAAGCGUGGGGAGCAAACAGG